rnacentral:rRNA from 1 species
UACGGAGGGGGCUAGCGUUGUUCGGAAUUACUGGGCGUAAAGCGCACGUAGGCGGCUUUGCAAGUCAGAGGUGAAAGCCCGGGGCUCAACCCCGGAAUUGCCUUUGAGACUGCAUCGCUAGAAUUGUGGAGAGGUAAGUGGAAUUCCGAGUGUAGAGGUGAAAUUCGUAGAUAUUCGGAAGAACACCAGUGGCGAAGGACGAC